rnacentral:rRNA from 1 species
AGCAGUCGCCACGGGAAUACAGAGGGUGCGAGCGUUAAUCGGAUUUACUGGGCGUAAAGCGUGCGUAGGCGGCUUCUUAAGUCGGAUGUGAAAUCCCUGAGCUUAACUUAGGAAUUGCAUUCGAUACUGGGAAGCUAGAGUAUGGGAGAGGAUGGUAGAAUUCCAGGUGUAGCGGUGAAAUGCGUAGAGAUCUGGAGGAAUACCGAUGGCGAAGGCAGCCAUCUGGCCUAAUACUGACGCUGAGGUACGAAAGCAUGGGGAGCAAACAGGAUUAGAUACCCGUGUAGUCCCUGUCUCUUAUAU